rnacentral:rRNA from 1 species
CCUACGGGAGGCAGCAGUGGGGAAUAUUGGACAAUGGGGGCAACCCUGAUCCAGCCAUGCCGCGUGAGUGAUGAAGGCCUUCGGGUUGUAAAGCUCUUUUGGCGGGGACGACGUACCCGCAGAAUAAGCCCCGGCUAACUUCGUGCCAGCAGCCGCGGUAAGACGAAGGGGGCUAGCGUUGUUCGGAAUUACUGGGCGUAAAGCGAGUGUAGGUGGUUGUCGUAGUCAGGCGUGAAAGCCUUGAGCUCAACUCAAGAAAUGCGCUUGAUACUGGGCAGCUAGAGGACCGGAGAGGAUAGUGGAAUUCCCAGUGUAGUGGUGAAAUACGUAGAGAUUGGGAAGAACACCAGUGGCGAAGGCGGCUAUCUGGACGGUCUGACACUAAGACUCGAAAGCGUGGGGAGCAAACAGGAUUAGAUACCCUUGUAGUC